ACGAGGACUUCGGUCCUAGUGGCGAACGGUCGCGUAACACGUAAGCAACCUGCCCUGAAGUGGGGGACAACAUCCCGAAAGGGGUGCUAAUACCGCAUGUGGUCACGAGUCGGCAUCGACUUGUGUCUAAAGAUUUAUCGCUUCAGGAUGGGCUUGCGGCCUAUCAGGUAGUUGGUGGGGUAAUGGCCUACCAAGCCGACGACGGGUAGCUGGUCUGAGAGGACGAUCAGCCGGAUUGGGACUGAGAUACGGCCCAGACUCCUACGGGGGGCAGCAAUUAGGAAUCUUGCGCAAUGGGGGAAACCCUGACGCAGCGACGUCGCGUGAAGGAUGAAGGCCCUCGGGUCGUAAACUUCUUUUGAGUGGGAAGAAAUUUGACGGUACCACUCGAAUAAGCCCCGGCUAACUACGUGCCAGCAGCCGCGGUAAUACGUAGGGGGCGAGCGUUGUCCGAAGUUACUGGGCGUAAAGCGCGCGUAGGCGGUUAUUUAAGUCUGGGGUGAAAGGUUCAGCGCUCAACGUGAACAGUGCCUUGGAUACUGGAUGACUUGAGUCUGGGAGGGGGAAGGGGAAUUCCUGGUGUAGCGGUGAAAUGCGUAGAUAUCAGGAGGAACACCGGUGGCGAAGGCGCCUUCCUGGCCUAAGACUGACGCUGAGGUGCGAAAGCGUGGGGAGCAAACGGGAUUAGAUACCCCGGUAGUCCACGCCGUAAACGAUGAGUGCUAGGUGUCGGGGGUAUCGACCCCCCCGGUGCCGUCGCUAACGCAUUAAGCACUCCGCCUGGGGAGUA
rnacentral:rRNA from 1 species